UUUGGUCAUUUAGAGGAAGUAAAAGUCGUAACAAGGUUUCCGUAGGUGAACCUGCGGAAGGAUCAUUACCUAGAGUUGUAGGCUUUGCCUGCUAUCUCUUACCCAUGUCUUUUGAGUACCUUACGUUUCCUCGGUGGGUUCGCCCACCGAUUGGACAAAUUUAAACCCUUUGCAGUUGAAAUCAGCGUCUGAAAAAACUUAAUAGUUACAACUUUCAACAACGGAUCUCUUGGUUCUGGCAUCGAUGAAGAACGCAGCGAAAUGCGAUAAGUAGUGUGAAUUGCAGAAUUCAGUGAAUCAUCGAAUCUUUGAACGCACAUUGCGCCCCUUGGUAUUCCAUGGGGCAUGCCUGUUCGAGCGUCAUUUGUACCUUCAAGCUCUGCUUGGUGUUGGGUGUUUGUCUCCUGUAGACUCGCCUUAAAACAAUUGGCAGCCGGCGUAUUGAUUUCGGAGCGCAGUACAUCUCGCGCUUUGCACUCAUAACGACGACAUCCAAAAGUACAUUUUUACACUCUUGACCUCGGAUCAGGUAGGGAUACCCGCUGAACUU
rnacentral:rRNA from 1 species